UGGGGGAUAUUGCACAAUGGGCGAAAGCCUGAUGCAGCGACGCCGCGUGGGGGAUGAAGGCCUUCGGGUUGUAAACUUCUUUUGCUCUGAACAAGGCGCACCAUGGGGUGUGUUGAGUGUAGGGGUUGAUUAGCGCCGGCUAACUACGUGCCAGCAGCCGCGGUAAUACGUAGGGCGCGAGCGUUGUCCGGACUUAUUGGGCGUAAAGGGCUUGUAGGUGGCUGGUGGCGUCUGUCGUGAAAGCUCAUGGCUUAACUGUGGGUUUGCGGUGGGUACGGGCUGGCUUGAGUGCAGUAGGGGAGGCUGGAAUUCCUGGUGUAGCGGUGGAAUGCGCAGAUAUCAGGAGGAGUACCGGUGGCGAAGGCGGGUCUCUGGGCUGUUACUGACACUGAGGAGCGAAAGCAUGGGGAGCGAACAGG
rnacentral:rRNA from 1 species